GACCCCCAUAGGUUUUAAUUGGGGGGUGUAGGAAUUAAUAUUAUUACAAGGAGGGAGCUGGUAGCGCUGCUGGCUCCCUCCUUGUUUUUGGGGGGGGUUUUUUAGCGCAUAGGCAGUGCUAUUUUCUCCGUGCUAGGUAGGUUAAUUCCACCGCAGCACAGAGUCUAUUAAAGGAACAAAUCAAAGAGAAAAGUUAAUACAUUCA